GAGAGUUAAACAGUACGUGAAAUUGUUGAAAGGGAAACGAUUGAAGUCAGUCAUACCAACGGGAAAUCAACCUUUUGAGUUUGGUCUCGUGGGUUUUGAAGAGUUUAAAAGCCUUCGGAUUUUCGAGAUUGGGUUCUUCUGGUGUACUUUCUCGUACGGUUAGUCAACAUCGGUUUUGAAUGUCAUAAAAUGACUGGAGGAAUGUGGCUUCGAUCUCGUAUUGAAGUGUUAUAGCCUUUGGUAGAUGUGAUGUUCGAGACCGAGGAUUGCAACGGAUACCCUUCUGGGCUAUUCGUCUGAUCUCUGAAACGUUGCCUUGAUGUCGAAAGCUUGCUUAUGAUGUUAGGGUAUUACGAUCAAAAGGUUAGAACGGAUUAAAUUCGUUAAGGAUGUUGACGUAAUGACUUUAAACGA
rnacentral:rRNA from 1 species